UACGUAGGGGGCGAGCGUUGUCCGGAUUUAUUGGGCGUAAAGAGCGUGUAGGCGGUUCGGUAAGUCUGUCGUGAAAUCCUGAGGCUCAACCUCGGGCGUGCGAUGGAUACUGCCGGGCUAGAGGGUGGUAGAGGCGAGUGGAAUUCCCGGUGUAGCGGUGAAAUGCGCAGAUAUCGGGAGGAACACCAGUAGCGAAGGCGGCUCGCUGGGCCACACCUGACGCUGAGACACGAAAGCGUGGGGAGCGAACAGG
rnacentral:rRNA from 1 species